GUGGCUGUAGCUCAACGGUAGAGCGCCAGGUUGUGGUCCUGGUGGUGCCGGUUCGAUUCCGGUCAGUCACCCCA
rnacentral:tRNA from 1 species